AGAGUUUGAUCAUGGCUCAGAUUGAACGCUGGCGGCAGGCUUAACACAUGCAAGUCGAGCGGGAAUAGGUAGCUUGCUACUGAGUUCUAGCGGCGGACGGGUGAGUAAAGCUUAGGAAUCUGCCAUUUAGUGGGGGACAACAUUUCGAAAGGGAUGCUAAUACCGCAUACGUCCUACGGGAGAAAGCAGGGGAUCACUCGUGACCUUGCGCUAAAUGAUGAGCCUAAGUCGGAUUAGCUAGUUGGUGGGGUAAAGGCCUACCAAGGCGACGAUCUGUAGCGGGUCUGAGAGGAUGAUCCGCCACACUGGGACUGAGACACGGCCCAGACUCCUACGGGAGGCAGCAGUGGGGAAUAUUGGACAAUGGGCGGAAGCCUGAUCCAGCCAUGCCGCGUGUGUGAAGAAGGCCUUUUGGUUGUAAAGCACUUUAAGCGAGGAGGAGGCUACUUAGAUUAAUACUCUAGGAUAGUGGACGUUACUCGCAGAAUAAGCACCGGCUAACUCUGUGCCAGCAGCCGCGGUAAUACAGAGGGUGCGAGCGUUAAUCGGAUUUACUGGGCGUAAAGCGUGCGUAGGCGGCCAUUUAAGUCAAAUGUGAAAUCCCCGAGCUUAACUUGGGAAUUGCAUUCGAUACUGGAUGGCUAGAGUAUGGGAGAGGAUGGUAGAAUUCCAGGUGUAGCGGUGAAAUGCGUAGAGAUCUGGAGGAAUACCGAUGGCGAAGGCAGCCAUCUGGCCUAAUACUGACGCUGAGGUACGAAAGCAUGGGGAGCAAACAGGAUUAGAUACCCUGGUAGUCCAUGCCGUAAACGAUGUCUACUAGCCGUUGGGGCCUUUGAGGCUUUAGUGGCGCAGCUAACGCGAUAAGUAGAACCCCUGNGGAGUACGGUCGCAAGACUAACCNUCNNAUGAAUUGACGGGCAGUCGCACAAGCGGUGGAGCACGUGAUAUAAUUCGAUGCANAUGCGAAGANCCUUACCUNUAUCUGANNUAGUAAGAACAUUCCAGAUAAUGGAUGGUGCCUUCGGGAACCUACANACAGGUGUAGCAUGGCAGUUAUCAGCUCGUGAGAGUGAGAUGCUGGGGUAAGUCGGCUCUACGAGCGCCCCCCUUUCCCUUAUGUGCCAUCCCUANGGGUGGGAACUUUAAGGAUCCGGCCAGCGACAACCCGGAGGAAGGCGGGCANGUCGUCAAGUCAUCAUGCCCCUUCCGCCCAGGUCUACACACUUGUUACAAUGGUUGGUACAAAGGGCUGCUACGCAGCGAUGUCCUGCUAAUCUCAAAAACCCAAUGCUAGUCCGGAGUGGAGUCUGCAACUUGACUCCAUGCAGUCGGAAUCGCUAGUAAUCGCGGAUCAGAAUGCCGCGGUGAAUACGUUCNCGGUCCUUGUACACAGCGCCUGUCCCUCCAUGGGUGUGAGUUGCACCAGAAGUGGAUAGUCUAGCCCCAAGGAGGCCGUUCCCCCCGGUGNCCCGAUGCAGGGGGUGAAGUCG
rnacentral:rRNA from 2 species